CUGCUCACUUCAGCAGCACCUAUACUAAAACUGGAACGACCCAGAGAUUAGCAUGGCCUCUGCACAAGGGUGUCACAAAAAUUCAUGAAGUGCUCUGUAUUUUU
rnacentral:snRNA from 1 species